CCUACGGGUGGCAGCAGUGAGGAAUAUUGGUCAAUGGGCGCUAGCCUGAACCAGCCAAGUAGCGUGAAGGAUGACUGCCCUAUGGGUUGUAAAUUUCUUAUAUAGGGUAAUAAAGUGCAGUAUGUAUACUGCUUUGCAUGUACCUUAUGAAUAAGGAUCGGCUAACUCCGUGCCAGCAGCCGCGGUAAUACGGAGGAUCCGAGCGUUAUCCGGAUUGAUUGGGGUUAAAGGGAGCGUAGGCGGGUUGUUAAGUCAGUUGUGAAAGUUUGCGGCUUAACCGUAACAUUGCAGUUGAUACUGGCUUCCUAGAGUACAGUAGAGGUAGGCGGAAUUCGUGGUGUAGCGGUGAAAUGCUUAGAUAUCACGAAGAACUCCGAAGGCGAAGGCAGCCUGCUGGACUGGAACUGACGCUGAUGCGCGAAAGUGUGGGUAUCAAACAGGAUUAGAUACCCGGGUAGUC
rnacentral:rRNA from 1 species